rnacentral:rRNA from 1 species
CCUACGGGAGGCAGCAGUGAGGAAUAUUGGUCAAUGGGCGUAAGCCUGAACCAGCCAAGUCGCGUGAGGGAUGAAGGUUCUAUGGAUCGUAAACCUCUUUUAUAAGGGAAUAAAGUGUGGGACGUGUCCUAUUUUGUAUGUACCUUAUGAAUAAGGAUCGGCUAACUCCGUUCCAGCAGCCGCGGUACUACGGAGGAUCCGAGCGUUAUCCGGAUUUGUUGGGUUUAACGGGUGCGUAGGCGGCCUUUUAAGUCAGCGGUGAAAGUCUGUGGCUCAACCAUAGAAUUGCCGUUGCAACUGGGGGGCGAGAGUAUGUUUGAGGCAGGCGGAAUGCGUGGUGUAGCGGUGAAAUGCUUAGAUAUCAGGCAGAACCCCGAUGGCGAAGGCAGCCGUCCAAGCCAUGACUGACGCUGAGGCACGAAAGCGUGGGGAUCAAACAGGAUUAGAUACCCGUGUAGUC